ACUCCUACGGGAGGCAGCAGUGGGGAAUAUUGCACAAUGGGCGCAAGCCUGAUGCAGCCAUGCCGCGUGUGUGAAGAAGGCCUCGGGUUGUAAAUGCACUUUCAGUAAGGAGGAAAGGUUAGUCACUAAUAUUGGCUAGCUGUGACGUUACUUACAGAAGAAGCACCGGCUAACUCCGUGCCAGCAGCCGCGGUAAUACGGAGGGUGCGAGCGUUAAUCGGAAUUACUGGGCGUAAAGCGUACGCAGGCGGUUUGUUAAGCGAGAUGUGAAAGCCCG
rnacentral:rRNA from 1 species